rnacentral:rRNA from 1 species
GACGAACGCUGGCGGCGUGCUUAACACAUGCAAGUCGAACGGAAAGGCCCUGCUUUUGUGGGGUGCUCGAGUGGCGAACGGGUGAGUAACACGUGAGUAACCUGCCCUUGACUUUGGGAUAACUUCAGGAAACUGGGGCUAAUACCGGAUAGGAGCUCCUGCUGCAUGGUGGGGGUUGGAAAGUUUCGGCGGUUGGGGAUGGACUCGCGGCUUAUCAGCUUGUUGGUGGGGUAGUGGCUUACCAAGGCUUUGACGGGUAGCCGGCCUGAGAGGGUGACCGGCCACAUUGGGACUGAGAUACGGCCCAGACUCCUACGGGAGGCAGCAGUGGGGAAUAUUGCACAAUGGGGGGGAGCCUGAUGCAGCAACGCCGCGUGCGGGAUGACGGCCUUCGGGUUGUAAACCGCUUUCGCCUGUGACGAAGCGUGAGUGACGGUAAUGGGUAAAGAAGCACCGGCUAACUACGUG